AGUGACCUUAAAAGGUCUUCCUCGUUCAUUCACUGCAAGGAAAACACGGGGAACUGUUAGCAGCCGAAGGAGGAAAGCAUUUGAUUUUUCAGACAAUCUGGUGCAUUACCAUCGAGAACCGCAAGAACUGCGGCGGCCCGAUGGCUCUUGAUUUUAAGGCUUGGGGCGAUGUCAUCACCUUCCUUAACUCCAAGGGGAUGAAGGUGUUACUGGAGGCUGUUGACUCUAUUAUUCUAUCCACCAAUCUGCUCUAAGUGAUCGAUGAUGCGUUUUGCGGGCUCCCCAACUGAUCCUUCCGUUUAACUUGUGACUGAAGAUUGCCUAUUAGUGAUCUGUGAUAUAAUCUGUGAUAAAUGUUUUCAUUUGACAUGUAGUAUUUAAUUUAAAAUUUUGACUCGGUUAAUGAUUUGUGAUGUAUCUGUGACUAAUGUUUUCAUUAAACAUUCCUUUUUGGUUAAA